rnacentral:lncRNA from 1 species
AAAAAGACAAAAAAAGGAAAAUUAAUAACAUAUAUUCUAGAAAUUUAUUAUUUACUAAAAUAAAGGGGAAAAAAGAAAAAAAAAAAAAGACGAAGCAAAUAAAUUCCCCAAAAAUUCUCAACUAACAUGACACCCGUUCACCCGGUUUUCGUCCGGAAUUGAACUACCCUACCUGUAAAUCAAUCCCGAUAUAGUUAAAUCGUUGCUGUCUAAUUGCAAUUAGCAAAUUGACAGAACAGAGCAGAGGAUAGAGAAACUGCAGACCCAAUUCAUAUAUAUAAACACAAUCACAUACAGACACAAGAAUCAAAAAUUCAAAUGGCGGAAGAAGAUAUAGCAACCCCACAACCAGAUGCCCAGCUCUUUGGCCUUCUAUCUAGUCUCCUCCAGCAGGUAUUUAUACUUUAAUCGCUCAUAUUUUGCAAUUUUUGUUCUUUCGGUUGUACCUAUAUAAGCAUUUGUAUUGUUGAGAUGUGUGGGUGUAAGUUUAGAAGUAUUGUAUGUUUUAUGGAUUUUAAUCAAGUUUUUGAUCUGGGUCUUAUUAUUUGCUUAAUUUCAGGUUAUGGGUAUUCAAAAAAUUUGAUCUUUGAAUUGGAUUUGCUUGUUAGUGCAGUUUUUGAUAGUUGAUUUUCCCUUUUCCCUCUUAUUGUCACAAUUUGGUAGUUGGCUGAUUUUGUUGUGGUUUAAUAGUUUUGAUAUUGAUAUUGAUAAUAUAUGCAUCAAGAAUCAACACUGUGAUGUAUCUUAUAGUCUUGGUUGUGGUAGCAUUCACUUAACACAUUCUUAUCAAAAAAAAAAGAAAAAAAAAAGAAGAGAAAAGAAGAUGCAGCGACUUGAUGUUAAAAAUUUUGCUUUAUAGUAAGAUAUAGAACAACAAUAUUUCUGCCUGAAUCGAAUGGUUGACCAUUCUUUCCUUAAGACUAUAUUCGCCCCUUACUUUUGCUACACAGAGUUACUGCGAAUUAGUCUCCCAAGAUAAGACAGGCCCAGAUUUUACUCUGUACUAGAAUUUGUUGUGUAGGAACAAAUCUAGUGUCAAACUAUAAAUGAAAGAAGAAAAUUUAUAAUAAGGAAAAUAUUCAGAAUGAUAAUUUUCCUAACUUGAGAAGGAUUGAAAAUUUUGAAGUAUUGAAUUUGGUGGAUUCCUGAUCUAUUUAUAGGUUUGUCGUAUCCCAAUUAUUGGGAUAUGACGUAUCCUAUAAAUUGGGUCGUAUCCCAAUUAUGGGAUAUGUCGUUCUGGAAUUUUUGAUACGUAUCCCAAUUCCCAAUUUUUGGCCCAAAUACGAUGUCGUAUUCCAAUACUUCCGCUCCAAAUAUUACCGUUGCGUAUUUUUGACCCAACUCAAUUUUGGCUUCCGCCCAAAUAUUACCGUUGGCUCCAACUUCCAAUACCGACGCGUUAAUAUUAUAACAUAUAAUAUAUUUAUUAUUUACUUUAGAUAAUGAAAAUAUCCAACACUUGAUACAUUUUUGAUGUGGCUGCUAGGUCAAUGUUAUGUUCCAAAGGUAUUGUUUGAAUUACUUUACUACAUAAGUAAUAUACUAAACCACC